rnacentral:rRNA from 1 species
UAGGGAAUAUUAGUAAUGGGCGAAAGCCUGAACUAGCAACACCGCGUGUGCGAAGAAGGCCUUCGGGUUGUAAAGCACUUUUUGAGAGGAUGAGGAAGGACGGUACUCUCAGAAUAAGUCUCGGCUAACUACGUGCCAGCAGCCGCGGUAACACGUAGGAGGCAAACGUUAUCCGGAUUUACUGGGCGUAAAGCGCGUGUAGGUGGUUUGGUAAGUAGAGCGUGAAAGCUCCUGGCUCAACUGGGAGAGGUCGUUCUAAACUGCCGGACUAGAGGAUGGUAGAGGGAGGUGGAAUUCCGGGUGUAGCGGUGGAAUGCGUAGAUAUCCGGAGGAACACCAGUGGCGAAAGCGGCCUCCUGGGCCAUUUCUGACGCUAAGACGCGAAAGCUAGGGUAGCAAACG